AAACCGUUCCCGAGGAUCUAUUGGAGGGCAAGUCUGGUGCCAGCAGCCGCGGUAAUUCCAGCUCCAAUAGCGUAUAUUAAAGUUGUUGUGGUUAAAAAGCUCGUAGUUGGAUUUCGGCGGGUAGUGGUCGGUUUGAAUUGCUUCAACACUGGCUUUUUUACCCGUGUGUUUUGCCAGAAUUUAACGGGUGAUCUUCGCCGAUUGUCCGUUAGAACUGGCAGGUUUACUUUGAAAAAAUUAGAGUGCUCAAAGCAAGCUUGAUUGCUUGAAUAUUCGUGCAUGGAAUAAUAGAAUAGGAAGUCGUUUCUAUUUUGUUGGUUUUCGGAAAUCGACUUAAUGAUUAAUAGGGAUAGUCGGGGGCAUUUGUAUUCAAACGACAGAGGUGAAAUUCUUGGACCGUUUGAAGACAAACUACUGCGAAAGCAUUUGCCAAGAAUGUUUUCAUUAAUCAAGAACGAAAGUUAGAGGUUCGAAGGCGAUUAGAUACCGCCCUAGUUCUAACCAUAAACGAUGCCAGCUAGCGAUCUGCCGGUGCUUGAUUUUCUGGCCCGGCAGGCAGCUUCCGGGAAACCAAAGCUUGUGGGUUCCAGGGGAAGUAUGGUUGCAAAGCUGAAACUUAAAGGAAUUGACGGAAGGGCACCACCAGGAGUGGAGCCUGUGGCUUAAUUUGACCCAACACGGGAAAUCUCACCAGGCCCGGACACCAGAAGGAUUGACAGAUUGAUAGCUCUUUCUUGAUUUGGUGGGUGGUGGUGCAUGGCCGUUCUUAGUUGGUGGAGUGAUUUGUCUGGUUAAUUCCGAUAACGAACGAGACUCUGUCCUGUUAAAUAGAUCCAACCUAGUUGUAGGGUUGGAAUGUCUUCUUAGAGGGACUGGUGAUUAUUAGUCACACGAGAUUGAGCAAUAGCAGGUCUGUGAUGCCCUUAGAUGUUCUGGGCCGCACACGCGCUACACUGAAGUGAUCAGCUAGUUUUUCCCUCUCCGAGAGGAGCGGGUAAACUGUUGAACCCACUUCGUGGUAGGGAUCGGAGCUUGCAAUUAUUCUCCGUGAACCAGGAAUACCCAGUAGGUGCAAGUCAUAAGCUUGCAUCGAUUACGUCCCUGCCCUUUGUACACACCGCCCGUCGCUACUACCGAUUGAGUGUUUUAGUGAGGACCUCGGAUUGCUUGCCUGGCGGUUAACGCUGCCUAGCUGGCGAAAAGACGUCCAAACUGUAGCACUUAGAGGAAGUAAAAGUC
rnacentral:rRNA from 1 species